CCUACGGGGGGCAGCAGUGGGGAAUAUUGGGCAAUGGGCGCAAGCCUGACCCAGCAACGCCGCGUGAAGGAAGAAGGCUUUCGGGUUGUACACUUCUUUUCUGAGGGACGAAGAAAGUGACGGUACCUCAGUACUAAGCCACGGCUAACUACGUGCCAGCAGCCGCGGUAAUACGUAGGUGGCAAGCGUUAUCCGGAUUUAUUGGGGGUAAAGGGCGUGUAGGCGGGAAAGGAAGUAAGUGGUGAAAACUCAGUGCUCAACCCUGAGCCUGCAUUUGAAACUGUUUUUCUUGAGUGCUGGAGAGGAAAUCGGAAUUCCAUGUGUAGCGGUGAAAUGCGUAGAUAUACGGAGGAACACCAGUGGCGAAGGCGGAUUGCUGGACAGUAACUGACGCUGAGGCGCGAAAGCGUGGGGAGCAAACAGGAUUAGAUACCCUUGUAGUC
rnacentral:rRNA from 1 species